rnacentral:rRNA from 1 species
CGCGCAGGCGGGAUAGCAAGUCAGAGGUGAAAUCCUACAGCUUAACUGUAGAACUGCCUUUGAUACUGUUAUUCUUGAGUUCGGGAGAGAGAGACGGAAUUCCAGGUGUAGUGGUGAAAUACGUAGAUAUCUGGAAGAACACCAGUUGCGAAGGCGGUCUCUUGGUCCGAUACUGACGCUGAGGCGCGAAAGCGUGGGGAGCAAACAGGAUUAGAUACCCUGGUAGUCC